GGUCGACGAUUCCUACGGGAGGCAGCAGUGAGGAAUAUUGGGCAAUGGAGGCAACUCUGACCCAGCCAUGCCGCGUGCAGGAAGACGGCCCUAUGGGUUGUAAACUGCUUUCGUACGGGAAGAAACACUGGUAUGUAUACCGGCUUGACGGUACCGUAAGAAUAAGCAUCGGCUAACUCCGUGCCAGCAGCCGCGGUAAUACGGAGGAUGCGAGCGUUAUCCGGAAUCAUUGGGUUUAAAGGGUCCGUAGGCGGCCUUAUAAGUCAGUGGUGAAAUCUUCUGGCUCAACCAGAAAACUGCCAUUGAUACUGUAAGGCUUGAAUAUUUGUGAAGUAACUAGAAUAUGUAGUGUAGCGGUGAAAUGCUUAGAUAUUACAUGGAAUACCAAUUGCGAAGGCAGGUUACUAACAAAUGAUUGACGCUGAUGGACGAAAGCGUGGGGAGCGAACAGGAUUAGAUACCCUGGUAGUCCACGCCGUAAACGAUGGAUACUAGCUGUUCGGAUGCAAAUCUGAGUGGCUAAGCGAAAGUGAUAAGUAUCCCACCUGGGGAGUACGCACGCAAGUGUGAAACUCAAAGGAAUUGACGGAAUCUCUAGA
rnacentral:rRNA from 1 species